UACGUAGGGGGCAAGCGUUGUCCGGAAUCAUUGGGCGUAAAGCGCGCGUAGGCGGCCCGGUAAGUCCGCUGUAAAAGUCCAGGGCUCAACCCUGGAAAGCCGGUGGAUACUGUCGGGCUAGAGUCCGGAAGAGGCGAGUGGAAUUCCUGGUGUAGCGGUGGAAUGCGCAGAUAUCAGGAGGAACACCGAUGGCGAAGGCAGCUCGCUGGGACGGUGACUGACGCUGAGGCGCGAAAGCGUGGGGAGCAAACAGG
rnacentral:rRNA from 1 species